rnacentral:rRNA from 1 species
UACGUAGGGUCCGAGCGUUGUCCGGAAUUACUGGGCGUAAAGAGCUCGUAGGCGGUUUGUCGCGUCUGCCGUGAAAGUCCGGGGCUCAACUCCGGAUCUGCGGUGGGUACGGGCAGACUAGAGUGAUGUAGGGGAGACUGGAAUUCCUGGUGUAGCGGUGAAAUGCGCAGAUAUCAGGAGGAACACCGAUGGCGAAGGCAGGUCUCUGGGCAUUAACUGACGCUGAGGCGAGCGAAAGCGUGGGGAGCAACAGG